UUUUAUUCCUAAGCAAUAAAAAAGGGGAUGCCCCUUCAGAAACUACCAGAGGGGAAGGACUGAGUUCAUGGCCAUUUACCUACAAGGAAACUUGAGCUCUAUUAGAAAAACCUCACCAGCCUUCCCAAUUUCAAGCAGAGAAUUCACUGAAAAGAGGAUGACAGUGCUUUGUUACACAGAGUGUUUGUUGGAAGGGGAUCACUGGACCUGGGGCAGAGGAUCGGAGCGGGAAGACCUCCUUGCUCCCAGAAUGCCAGCUCAAGGACCUCUCCUUGGCCCAUAACCCCUAGGACUCGGCCUCUUACCUCCCAAUGCUGUGGGUUCAGAGGGCUCUUACCCACAUGUCUUCCUCUGUUGUAUCCAGGAGUUUUUCUAUGACAUCAAACACAGUGACCUGGCAAAGAAGUCACUGGACAUUUCAGUCUGGGACUAUGACAUCGGCAAGUCCAAUGAUUACAUCGGAGGCUGCCAGCUGGGGAUCUCUGCCAAGGGAGAGCGCUUAAAACACUGGUACGAGUGUCUGAAAAAUAAAGACAAGAAGAUAGAGCGCUGGCACCAGCUACAGAAUGAGAACCACGUGUCAAGUGAUUAGGCUAGUGCCCAGGUCCCCAACUCCAUGUCCCGGGUCCCCCCCAGCCUGCUCUAGCUGCCCACCGCACCCUGAUCUCUCUUCUCUAUGCCUACCUCCCCCCAUACCCUGCUGAUCUCCCUGAGCCUGCCUUUGAGCCCCCGUCACGUUGGGCAUUGCUGCCAAAGACUCCCUCCUCCCUGAUGCUGGGAUGUGGGCUCUGAAUACAGCCCCUCUCUCAUCCCUGGGAUGGAGCAAUGGGGAUGGGGUUGGGGAGACGUUUACAAAGAGGUUGAUCAUUUAAUAACCUCUCAGUUUGGGUAAAUUACAAAGGUUCUUCAUCAUUUAGGACUGUUUUUAGACCCUCCUAGCCUUGAACACACACAUGUACACACACACAUACACACACACACACACACACACACACACACCCUUUCAUUCCCUGUGUUGUGUCUCUGUAUAUCCCCAGUUGUCAGCAGACCCGGACAAUGCUGUGAGAGAAGCAUCGGGGCAGAAAUAGAGCCUCCGGGCUCCCACUGCCCCCUGAGAUGUACACCCUGAUUGCCAGGAAAACAGACUGCUGUGUUCGGUAACACACCCUCCCUGCUCCAAGUGCACCAGGAUGCAAAUGCACAGAAUUCACCAGGGGCUUGGACGCUCUCCUCUUUCCGAAUGUCACCUGUGUGCUUCCUAGCAAAACAAAAACAAACGACAACAACAAAAAACCCUUCCUCUGUCACCUUUUCUCCUCCUCCCUCUUCUUUCCCUUCCAUGAUAGUAGAUUCUCUCUUUCUCAGCCUCUCCCCUCUCCUUUCUCUCCCUGCCUUUCUUCCCUUUGCCUUUCUCUCUCUCUAAAGCAGUAACGCCGCAAAAACAACAGCAAAAAAAGUGUAUGUUAACCUAGCCUCACGCCCUUGCUCUCACCAGCCUGACCAGGAAACUGAGAAACUGGCCCAAACCUGAGAUUCCACUUGGGCCCACGCUUCUUAACUGACCCACUCCUCCCGUUGGCAGAACCAGACAUUCCCAGGGCUUGGGCCAAUGGCUGGCCCUGCCCUGAGUGCAUGGCAGCAUCCCUCAAGCUGUGUAGAUGCCCCAUAGAGGACUCUCUCAUCCGUGGGCUCCCCGGGUGGGCACAGAGGCAUUUAGAAGACCAGGGCCACGGGUCUGAGGAAGCCUCAUCCAAAGCCUCCAGCCUUUCUCCGCUCUUAGGUAAAUGAACAAGCUACCCUCCUCCCCAGUGCCCUUGACUCUGUUUCAUUGACUCUUUUGCAUCCCAUCUCUCACUCAGAACCCCCUCCAGUCUCUCUGUCUCUCUUUGUCUGUCUCUCUGUCUCCUGCACUCUCGUUACUAAGCUUCCUGGGAGAAUCAAAUAAUAUCAUGGCUAUGGAACAGUAGAGAGAGACAGGCCUGAUGCCAAGGGCUUUGGGCUCAUCAUCAAUCUUUCACUUUCUUCCUAUAAAAAAAAUUAUUUUAUAAAGGAGGAAGAGGCAAUAUGGGCAAACAUUACAAAUUUGAGGUUGAAGUCAGGCAAUCUUCAAUGCCCUGUGAGAAAGGUUCGAUUUUCCCAAUUUCGAUGAAGUCUUCCCUCAUGAAAAUCACUCCCAGUCAUCCCAAACCCCUGACAUUCUCUACAGAAGCAUCAGACAGACACUGAAACUCUCACUUUCCCCAAAUCACAUCUCUUAACUUUUCAACGCCCUCCACCCUCAGCUCCCUGCACAAUUCAUGGGAGGACUCAUUUCUUGCCUUGAAUAACCAUUUUCUAAACAUCGAGCUUUUCAC
rnacentral:sRNA from 1 species